rnacentral:rRNA from 1 species
AGCGAACGCUGGCGGCAGGCUUAACACAUGCAAGUCGAGCGGGCAUCCUUGUGGUGUCAGCGGCAGACGGGUGAGUAACGCGUGGGAACGUGCCCUUCGGUUCAGAAUAACUCAGGGAAACUUGAGCUAAUACCGGAUACGUGCGAGAGCAGAAAGGUUUAUCUGCCGAAGGAUCGGCCCGCGUCUGAUUAGCUAGUUGGUGAGGUUAUGGCUCACCAAGGCGACGAUCAGUAGCUGGUCUGAGAGGAUGAUCAGCCACACUGGGACUGAGACACGGCCCAGACUCCUACGGGAGGCAGCAGUGGGGAAUAUUGGACAAUGGGGGCAACCCUGAUCCAGCCAUGCCGCGUGAGUGAUGACGGCCUUAGGGUUGUAAAGCUCUUUUCUCCGGGACGAUAAUGACGGUACCGGAGGAAUAAGCCCCGGCUAACUUCGUG